rnacentral:rRNA from 1 species
UACGUAGGGUGCGAGCGUUGUCCGGAAUUAUUGGGCGUAAAGAGCUCGUAGGCGGUGUGUCACGUCGGCCGUGAGAACCUGCAGCUUAACUGUGGGCGUGCGGUCGAUACGGGCAUCACUGGAGUUCGGCAGGGGAGACUGGAAUUCCCGGUGUAGCGGUGAAAUGCGCAGAUAUCGGGAGGAACACCAAUGGCGAAAGCAGGUAACUGGACUAUUACUGACACUCAACUGCGAAAGCUAGGGGAGCAAACAGG